rnacentral:rRNA from 1 species
UACGUAGGGUGCAAGCGUUGUUCGGAAUUAUUGGGCGUAAAGGGCGCGUAGGCGGUUUGACAAGUCUGAUGUGAAAUCUCUGGGCUCAACCCAGAGUCUGCAUUAGAAACUGUCGGGCUUGAGUAUGGGAGAGGUGAGUGGAAUUUCCGGUGUAGCGGUGAAAUGCGUAGAUAUCGGAAGGAACACCUGUGGCGAAAGCGGCUCACUGGACCAUAACUGACGCUGAGGCGCGAAAGCUAGGGGAGCAAACAGG